rnacentral:rRNA from 1 species
CAGCCGGCCUGCGACGGCGACCGGCCACACUGGGACUGAGACACGGCCCAGACUCCUACGGGAGGCAGCAGUGGGGAAUAUUGCGCAAUGGGCGAAAGCCUGACGCAGCAACGCCGCGUGCGGGAUGAAGGCCUUCGGGUUGUAAACCGCUUUCAGCAGGGAAGAAGCGAAAGUGACGGUACCUGCAAAAGAAGCACCGGCUAACUACGUGCCAGCAGCCGCGGUAAUACGUAGGGUGCAAGCGUUGUCCGGAUUUAUUGGGCGUAAAGAGCUCGUAGGCGGUUAGUCACGUCGGAUGUGAAAACUCAGUGCUUAACACUGAGCCUGCAUUCGAUACGGGCUGACUAGAGUAUUGUAGGGGAGAUGGGAAUUCCU